ACGGGAGGCAGCAGUGGGGAAUAUUGGGCAAUGGGCGAAAGCCUGACCCAGCGACGCCGCGUGAAGGAAGAAGGCCUUCGGGUUGUAAACUUCAGUCAACAGGGAAGAAGAAAGUGACGGUACCUGUGGAGGAAGCCACGGCUAACUACGUGCCAGCAGCCGCGGUAAUACGUAGGUGGCGAGCGUUAUCCGGAUUUACUGGGUGUAAAGGGUGUGUAGGCGGGAUCGCAAGUCAGAUGUGAAAAUUAUGGGCUUAACUCAUAACCUGCAUUUGAAACUGCGAUUCUUGAGUAUCGGAGAGGUAAACGGAAUUCCCAGUGUAGCGGUGAAAUGCGUAGAUAUUGGGAGGAACACCAGUGGCGAAGGCGGUUUACUGGACGACAACUGACGCUGAGACACGAAAGCGUGGGGAGCAAACAGGAUUAGAUACCCUGGUA
rnacentral:rRNA from 2 species